UGGUUCUGAAGGAAAGUUGAGUC
rnacentral:piRNA from 1 species